rnacentral:rRNA from 1 species
GACGAACGCUGGCGGCGUGCUUAACACAUGCAAGUCGAGCGGUAAGGCCCUUUCGGGGGUACACGAGCGGCGAACGGGUGAGUAACACGUGGGUGACCUGCCCUCAGCUCUGGGAUAAGCCUGGGAAACCGGGUCUAAUACUGGAUAUGACUCCAUGACGCAUGUUGUGGGGUGGAAAGCCUUGGUGCGGCUGAGGAUGGGCCCGCGGCCUAUCAGCUUGUUGGUGGGGUGANGGCCUACCAAGGCGACGACGGGUAGCCGGCCUGAG